rnacentral:rRNA from 1 species
GAUUUCUGUCUGGUGCCUUUGGGUCGCCUUACGAAGAGUGGCUGACUUCGGUUAGUCAUUCUUUUAUGAGGUGUGUUCCGAGGUUAAGCAGGAGAGUUUGUUUGUUUGUUGAGCACUCAUUUUUGGGUGUCUUAGCAAGCCGCUUUCUUGUCUUUUGCACCAGUCAUCCUUUCCGGGGUAAGUUCUUUCAUUCGUGGAAGGAUUUACUUUUAUAAUUUCCCGGAUCAUUUACUUUGAAAAAAUUAGAGUGUUUCAAGCAGGCAUAUCGCUAUGAAUACAUUAGCAUGGAAUAAUAAGAUAGGACUUUGGUUCUAUUUUGUUGGUUUCUAGGACUAAAGUAAUGAUUGAUAGGGACAGUUGGGGGUGCUAGUAUUUAACGGCCAGAGGUGAAAUUCUUGGAUUCGUUAAAGACUAACUUAUGCGAAAGCAUU